rnacentral:lncRNA from 1 species
AUAUAUAUAUAGUCCGGUUAUGGUGCUUGUAAAAGCACCAAGCACUUGGUGCUUGUAAGUUUUUUACCGUUAGAUCUACUUCUCGGAUCAUUUUCAACCGUUAGAUUAUACUAUUCAACCAACCAACCACCCACCCAACCCUAGGGGGCCCACAUCAUUCUAACCGCAUAUCUCUUAAUCUAAUGGCUAAAAAUCUGCAAGCACCAAUAACUUGAUACUUUUAAAAGUAUAGGAGCUCAAUUCUAUAUGAGUCCGGCUAUGCUGCUUGUAAAAGCACCAAGUACUUGGUGCUUAUAAGUUUUUUACCGUUAGAUCUACUUCUCAGAUCAUUUUCAACCAUUAGAUUAUACUAUUCAACCAACCAUCCACUCAACCCUAGGGGGCCCACAUCAUCCUAACCGCAUAUCUCUUAAUCCAAUGGCUAAAAAUCUACAAGCACCAAUAACUUGAUACUUUUAAAAGUAUAGGAGCUCAAUUCUAUAUGAGUCCGGCUAUGCUGCUUGUAAAAGCACCAAGUACUUGGUGCUUAUAAGUUUUUUACCGUUAGAUCUACUUCUCAGAUCAUUUUCAACCAUUAGAUUAUACUAUUCAACCAACCAUCCACUCAACCCUAGGGGGCCCACAUCAUCCUAACUGCAUAUCUCUUAAUCCAAUGGCUAAAAAUCUACAAGCACCAAUAAACGGUAGCAAACGGGCUCCGUUGCCACUCAUUUGUUUUCGAUGAUGAAGUCUCCAAAUCAACGAUCGGUACCGUUGAACAUGAUCUAUACUACUUGAAGUAUUUAGAAACCAAAUUUCAAGAUGAUUCAAGUAGUAUAGAUCAGAUUCAACGGUGUUGAUCGUCGAUUUGAAGGUUCCAUCAUCGAAAAGCAACGGAGUCCAUUUACUAUUAAUAGUAUUCCAGCAACUUACUCUCUCUCUCUCUAUAUAUAUAUAUAAAUAAAAAUAAUAUACUCAUCAAUAUAAAUUAGUUUUGAAAAUUUACAAUUUUAAAUAAAGAAAUUAAAAUUGAUUAACUCAUAUAAGGAAUCAAAGUUGAAAUUUUAUAGUUUUUCUAAUAAAGAUACUUUAAAUGUUAGAUAAUACCUCUUGGCGGUUGGUACUCGAGACCCAAGUUUGAAUACUAGUUGAUUCACAUUUUUAGCUAAAUUUAUUUUUAAAUAAAAUAAAUGAAGCAGGUAGCGUGCUAUCUAUCUCUCAAAAAAAAAAAAAAAAAUCGUUAAUAAAAUCUCCAUUUUAA